UACGUAGGCAGCAAGCGUUGUUCGGAGUUACUGGGCGUAAAGGGUGCGUAGGCGGUCCUGUAAGUAUGGUGUGAAAAUCUCCCGGCUUAACUGGGAGGGUGCGCUAUAGACUGCGGGACUAGAGGGUGGGAGAGGAAAGUGGAAUUCCUGGUGUAGCGGUGAAAUGCGUAGAUAUCAGGAGGAACACCGGUGGUGUAAACGGCUU
rnacentral:rRNA from 1 species